GACGAACGCUGGCGGCGUGCUUAACACAUGCAAGUCGAACGGAAAGGCCCUGCUUUUGUGGGGUGCUCGAGUGGCGAACGGGUGAGUAACACGUGAGUAACCUGCCCUUGACUUUGGGAUAACUUCAGGAAACUGGGGCUAAUACCGAAUAGGAGCUCCUGCUGCAUGGUGGGGGUUGGAAAGUUUCGGCGGUUGGGGAUGGACUCGCGGCUUAUCAGCUUGUUGGUGGGGUAGUGGCUUACCAAGGCUUUGACGGGUAGCCGGCCUGAGAGGGUGACCGGCCACAUUGGGACUGAGAUACGGCCCAGACUCCUACGGGAGGCAGCAGUGGAGAAUAUUGCACAGUGGGCGGAGGCCUGAUGCAGCAACGCCGCGUGCGGGAUGACGGCCUUCGGGUUGUAAACCGCUUUCGCCUGUGACGAGGCGUGAGUGACGGUAAUGGGUAAAGAAGCACCGGCUAACUACGUG
rnacentral:rRNA from 1 species